rnacentral:lncRNA from 1 species
CAUCGGUCUUCCAAGGCUAGGGCUGCUGCGACUGAGGAAUCUGAGGUUUAAGCCCCUCGGCRAGGGUCCCAGCCAGUGCCCUGGAGUAAGAGCGGACGUUCACUGAACAAGGCCAUGCCCAGAGGAUUCUAGAACUUCAAAGCACUGAUGCCCAGGUCCUAAGCCCUGAGAAUGUGACCCUCCAUGGCACAGGACUUUGCAGAUGUGAUGGAUGAGGCCAGGACCUGAAAGUGGGGGUCAUCCUGGAUGACCCAG